GAUUAACGCUGGCGGCGUGCCUAACACAUGCAAGUCGAACGAUGAAACUUAGUAGACUUCUUCGGAAAGACACUAAGCGGCUUAUUGGCGAACGGGUGAGUAACUCCUGAGUAACCUGCCUUACCCAAGGGGAUCGCCUUUGGAAACGAAGUAUAAUACCCUAUCACACUAUACAAGCACAUGCUAUAAUGUUCAUAGUGAUAGCGGUGUAAGCUGGACUUGCGUCUGAUUAGCUAGUUGGUGCGAUAAAAGCUCACCAAGGCAACGAUCAGUAGCAGGAGUGGGAGAGCGGACGGGAAGAUUGGGAAUGGGACAAGGCCCAGACUCUUACGGGAGGGAGCAGUGGGGAAGUAGGAACAAAGGGGGAAAGCCGGAUGCAGCGGGGCCGCGGGAUUUAGAAGGCCUGCGGGUUGUAAAAAUCUUGUGUAUAGGAAGAAAAUGACAGUACUAUACGAAUAAGGUCCGGCUAAUUACGUG
rnacentral:rRNA from 1 species